rnacentral:rRNA from 1 species
UCGACUUCUUGAACGUAAAUUGCGGCAUUAGGCUCUGCCUGAUGCCACGCCUAGCCGAGUGUCGGCAUU